rnacentral:lncRNA from 1 species
UUUUGAGUCCAUGGUGAACUCACGAAACCAUUCCCUUUUGUGUGCUGGGUUUCUGCUCUUCUGGGGACAGAAGUCCCUGUGUUCUGCUGAGGAGAGGGGAGAGCACCAGACAGAGCAGCCCUGGAAUCUAGAAGGAAACCUUUGUAUAAGAAGCUCCCAUUGACCUUGGAGGCCACUUACCAAGGAGUAUUUAAAGAGAUGAAAAGUCAGGACCUGCUGAGCAUGAGCAAGCUGGAACAGGAUUUCACACUGGCAGCCAUGGCAGGGGCUCACUGCUCCUGUGGCCUGGGGCUCCAGAAGGGUAUUUGCAGCAGUGGCCACCCAUGGGAGUCCUGGCCAACUGUGCUUGAGUUCCAAAGCUCUCUCAGAGAAGGAAGAUUCCUUGAUGUGUCUCUGACCUCAGGCUACAUGGAUUAGGAUUAGCCAGGAGGCCAAAC